UGUGAAAAAGACCCGUGGGGUGGACAUCCACCACGCCCUUAACCAUGGUGAGAUGAAGUUUGGAUCAUAUUAUGUAGACGGUUAUUAUGAGAAAGAUGGUGUGAGAAAGGCUCUAGAUUUUGCAGGUUGUUUUUUCCAUGGGCAUUGCUGUCGUUAUAGAGCUGAUUAUAUUAACCCCCAGUCCAAAAUUCCUUUUGGAACGCUCAUGACUAUGUUCAAUGACAGGAUCGAUGUUUUACAACGUGUACACCACCUAGACACAGAGGUUAUGUGGGAAUGUCGGUGGACUAAUCUUAAGCAAACAGACCCUGAUGUAAUUGAUUUUAUGUCUACUUAUUCAGCACCAGAGAGACUGAAACCUCAUGAUUCACUUUUUGGUGGGAGGACCAAUGCCUACAAGUUGUACCACAAAACUGUUGAUGGUGAGAAGAUCAGAUAUGUUGAUUUCACUAGCCUCUACCCAUACUGUCAGGCUCGGAAGAGCUAUCCUAUCGGUCAUCCAGAAAUUAUUUUCAGCGAUUUUGAAAAUCUAGAAAAUUAUUAUGGUCUUGUCAAGGUAAAGAUGCUGCCUCCUCGAAAAUUACUAUAUCCAGUGCUUCCCAUCAGGUCCUCCGGGAAAUUAAUGUUCUCCCUCUGCCGCACAUGUGCGGAAGAGCAAAGUAAUGUCAUACCUUGUACUCACACCGAUGAUGAAAGAGCAAUUUUGGGGACAUGGGUCAGUCUUGAAUUGUUAAAAGCCAUUGAGAAGGGUUAUGCUGUGGUUAAGAUCUAUGAGGUUUGGCAUUUUCCACAGAGAUCUGACAGACUGUUUUGUGAUUAUGUGAAGACAUUUUUGCAGUUUAAACAGCAAGCCUCUGGCUAUCCCUCAGAUGUAAUCACUGAGGAUGACAAAAGGGGGUACAUCGAUGACUAUCAUAAAAAAGAAGGGAUUAAACUUGAUGCUGAAAAGAUAGCUUAUAACCCUGCUCAAAGGUCAGUUAUGAAAUUACUUUUGAACAGUCUUUGGGGACGAUUCUGUUUAAGAGAAAAUCUCGCUAAUUCUAAACUUUUGAAAAACCCCGAAGAUUUUGCUCAUUUCAUCUUUGGAUGUCAGUACGAGAUCAAGUACUUUACUUUUCUAUCUGACAGUGUUGCACUAGUACAGUACAAACAUGCAGAGGGGUCUUUUUAUGAGACUCGAGAUGUUAAUGUUUUUAUUGGUGCUUUUACAACUGCCCAUGCUCGACUAGAGUUGUAUGAUCUAAUGGACAAGCUGGGGGAUAGGCUUCUCUAUAGCGAUACUGAUAGUGUCAUCUAUGUGUCUAGAGAAGGAGACUGGGAACCUCCACUAGGUCCAUAUCUAGGUGAACUGACAGAUGAGGUUGGCUGUGAUGAUUAUAUCACAGAAUACUGUUCCGGAGGACCUAAGACAUACGGCUUCAGAACUGCAAAGGGAAAAGUGUGUAUGAAAGCAAAGGGGAUAACAUUGAAUUCAGAAAAUUCCAAAGUUAUCAGAUUGGACUCAUUGAUCAGCCUUGUUAACGGCUAUGUAAAUUCAUCUGACAGUACUCAGCACAUACUAGCCCACACAGAUAACAUCGUGAGAAAUAAAAAGACGGUCACAUUGCAUAACAAGUCAGUUGUUAAAAGAUUCAAGGUUGUGUAUAACAAGAGGGUGCUUCUCCCUGAUUAUAGAACAUUGCCUUAUGGCUACUGAUAACAUUCUCAGUUAUCGAGGGGUAAAGGAUACAGACGGGUUUGAUCCACGGUUUCAACAUCCGUUCUCAAUGAUCCUGUGCGGCCCUUCGUGCUCAGGAAAAACUUUUUUUGUAAAAAUGUUGUUGCAGAAUGCAAAAAGUAUGAUUUCUAAAAAUGUUGAAAACAUUGUGUACAUUUAUGAUUGUUGGCAACCAUUGUAUGAUGAAUUGUUGAAAAUGUAUGAUAUUAAAUUUAUUGAAG
ensembl:lncRNA